rnacentral:rRNA from 1 species
ACAGGAGGGGCGAGCGUUGGGCGUCUGGACUGGGCCUAAAGCGUGGGUCGGUGGAGAACACCUCUCUUUAUUUGGUCCCUCGAAGGCUCGAGGCAAAAAAAGAGCACAGCUUCUCUGGGGUUUCUGAAGGGGUUGGGCAAUGGCCCAAGGACCGGUAGAAUGGGUGUAUAUGGGUCAGAAGACCAAAGGCGAAGGCACCAACCUGGCAGAAUACCGACACCUAGCCACGGAAGCGUGGGGAGCGAAUGGGA